UCACUGAUUCGAGUAUUUGGCGAGCGCCGUUUUGUCCUACUAAUUUUGGCGGUCCUUGAACUCACCGUAUAGUUUGUUUGCAAUGUAUAACUUUCUCCGACUUUCUAGGACGUGUUUUAUGCCACUUCUUUUUCUGUCUCAUUUUGUCCACCACACUUUUAACGUUGUGCGUGAAUACACAAAGUGUCCUGCAAAACAGUGCAAAUUGGGAGACUGUGAGUCCACUUGGGUCACGGGAUUAUCAGUUGGAAGGCACAGUUCUCGCAGCUCCGGCUGAAUACUGGGAGUUUGUCGGGAGAAAAUCUCUGUCGGGAGGUUGUCGGGAGAGGCGCUGAAUAUCGGGAUUCUCCCGCUAAAAACGGGA